rnacentral:rRNA from 1 species
UAUAUAAGUUAUCGUUUAUUUGAUAGUACCUUACUACUUGGAUAACCGUGGUAAUUCUAGAGCUAAUACAUGCUAAAAAUCCCGACUUCGGAAGGGAUGUAUUUAUUAGAUUAAAAACCAAUGCCCUCUGGGCUCCUUGGUGAUUCAUAAUAACUUUUCGAAUCGCAUGGCCUUGCGCCGGCGAUGGUUCAUUCAAAUUUCUUCCCUAUCAACUUUCGAUGUUUGGGUAUUGGCCAAACAUGGUCGCAACGGGUAACGGAGGGUUAGGGCUCGACCCCGGAGAAGGAGCCUGAGAAACGGCUACUACAUCCAAGGAAGGCAGCAGGCGCGCAAAUUACCCAAUCCCGAUUCGGGGAGGUAGUGACAAUAAAUACUGAUACAGGGCUCUUUUGGGUCUUGUAAUUGGAAUGAGUACAAUUUAAAUCCCUUAACGAGGAACAAUUGGAGGGCAAGUCUGGUGCCAGCAGCCGCGGUAAUUCCAGCUCCAAUAGCGUAUAUUAAAGUUGUUGUGGUUAAAAAGCUCGUAGUUGAACCUUGGGCCUGGCUGGCCGGUCCGCCUCACCGCGUGUACUGGUCCGGCCGGGCCUUUCCCUCUGUGGAACCUCAUGCCCUUCACUGGGUGUGGCGGGGAAACAGGACUUUUACUUUGAAAAAUUAGAGUGCUCCAGGCAGGCCUAUGCUCGAAUACAUUACAUGGAAUAAUAAAUAGGACGCGUGGUUCUAUUUUGUGGUUCUAGGACCGCCGUAAUGAUUAAUAGGGACAGUCGGGGGCAUCAGUAUUCAAUUGUCAGAGGUGAAAUUCUUGGAUUUAUUGAAGACUAACUACUGCGAAAGCAUUUGCCAAGGAUGUUUUCAUUAAUCAGGAACGAAAGUUAGGGGAUCGAAGACGAUCAGAUACCGUCGUAGUCUUAACCAUAAACUAUGCCGACUAGGGAUCGGACGAUGUUAUUUUUUGAGCGCGUUCGGCACCUUACGAGAAAUCAAAGUGCUGGGC